CUAAAUCAAGAAUUCUAAAAGGACACUAAGUGUUCCAACCAUCUUCUCUCAACCUCUCUACUUCUCUCAAAUCUUCAAAGCAAGGAAGAGAACUCUAAGAGAUCUAAAAGAAAACACUAAGUGUUUUGAAGGAAGCUUUGAAGCUCCAACCUCUAACUCUUCACAGAAUCACCAAAGGAAACUUUGCAAAACUGUUUUGAGAUGAUGUUGAUGAUGCAUGGAACAUAGUAGGAUGCUUAGAUACACAUUUAAAAUUUUGUAUUCUUAUUGUAUUGUCAUUCUUGUAUUUCAAG